AUACGCCAGGCGGGGAUCAUGAUGGAGCAGGUGAAGGCCAUCCGGGAGGCAAGCCAGGCAGCCUACGACGCCAGUUCUGCUCUUCAAAGCAAUGUUCAGAAAUCCUGCGACCUUGCGGCUCGUUAUACCGAGCUGGAGAACAAGCACAUCCAGCUCGAGCUGGAUCUGAAGCUGGUCCAGGAAAAUCUGACGAAGGCGAAGGAGGAGACCAAAGGCAAGGUGAAGGAGGCC